UACGUAGGGGGCAAGCGUUAUCCGGAUUUACUGGGUGUAAAGGGGGCGCAGACGGCGAUGCAAGCCAGGAGUGAAAGCCCGGGGCCCAACCCCGGGACUGCUCUUGGAACUGCGUGGCUGGAGUGCAGGAGGGGCAGGCGGAAUUCCUGGUGUAGCGGUGAAAUGCGUAGAUAUCAGGAGGAACACGGGUGGCGAAGGCAGCCUGCUGGACUGCAACUGACGUUGAGGCCCGAAAGCGUGGGGAGCAAACAGG
rnacentral:rRNA from 1 species